GAGGGGUCCGCGCCUGAUUAGCUCGUUGGCGGGGUAAUGGCCCACCAAGGCUUCGAUCAGUAGCCGUCCUGAGAGGGAGCACGGCCACACUGGAACUGAGACACGGUCCAGACUCCUACGGGAGGCAGCAGUGGGGAAUUUUUGGCAAUGGGCGAAAGCCUGACCAAGCAACGCCGCGUGGGUGAUGAAGUAUCUUGGUACGUAAAACCCUUUCGGCAGGGACGAACGCAAUGACGGUACCUGCGGAAGAAGCCCCGGCUAACUCCGUGCCAGCAGCCGCGGUAAUACGGGGGGGGCAAGCGUUGUUCGGAAUUAUUGGGCGUAAAGGGCGCGUAGGCGGUCAGAUAAGUCAGCUGUGAAAACCUCGGGCUUAACUCGAGGCCUGCAGUUGAAACUGUUUAGCUGGAGUGUGGGAGAGGAGAGUGGAAUUCCCGGUGUAGCGGUGAAAUGCGUAGAUAUCGGGAGG
rnacentral:rRNA from 1 species